AAACUCAAAGGAAUUGACGGGGCCCCGCACAAGCGGCGGAGCAUGCGGAUUAAUUCGAUGCAACGCGUAGAACCUUACCUGGGUUUGACAUGGAUCGGGAGUGCUCAGAGAUGGGUGUGCCUCUUUUGGGGUCGGUUCACAGGUGGUGCAUGGCUGUCGUCAGCUCGUGUCGUGAGAUGUUGGGUUAAGUCCCGCAACGAGCGCAACCCUUGUUCACUGUUGCCAGCACGUUAUGGUGGGGACUCAGAGGAGACCGCCGGGGUCAACUCGGAGGAAG
rnacentral:rRNA from 1 species